AUUGAACGCUGGCGGCAUGCCUUACACAUGCAAGUCGAACGGUAACAGGUCUUCGGAUGCUGACGAGUGGCGAACGGGUGAGUAAUACAUCGGAACGUGCCCGAUCGUGGGGGAUAACGAAGCGAAAGCUUUGCUAAUACCGCAUACGAUCUACGGAUGAAAGCAGGGGACCGCAAGGCCUUGCGCGAACGGAGCGGCCGAUGGCAGAUUAGGUAGUUGGUGGGAUAAAAGCUUACCAAGACGACGAUCUGUAGCUGGUCUGAGAGGACGACCAGCCACACUGGGACUGAGACACGGCCCAGACUCCUACGGGAGGCAGCAGUGGGGAAUUUUGGACAAUGGGCGAAAGCCUGAUCCAGCCAUGCCGCGUGCAGGAUGAAGGCCUUCGGGUUGUAAACUGCUUUUGUACGGAACGAAAAGACUCUGGUUAAUACCUGGGGUCCAUGACGGUACCGUAAGAAUAAGCACCGGCUAACUACGUGCCAGCAGCCGCCGUAAAAC
rnacentral:rRNA from 1 species